UGUAAGCAAACCACAAUAUCCAGAAUUCAUAGCGAUUUCAGUGGAGUUGCAUCCAGUUGAAUACUCCCGUGGAGAAAUGUCUAAAUGUCUGUGUUUGUAGCCAGCACUUUCAGCCGGAGGAUUUCGAUAUGGACCUGAAGUCUUAACUGAUGAGGUUGCCAUGACAUCGAACGUUUUAAAGUGAUGCUAUUCCAUUGAUUUCCCCCUUCACAUCAAAGAGGAAAGGACAACAUUCAACCCGAUCAGCUUCUAGCUAACUCCAGCAUCACUGAUCAGCAACUCCAUACAUCUGACUCAGAUGAAGGGCAACCCUUCGUUGACCAACAUGAAGCUGUCACAAUGCAACAAAAAGGUGUGAAUGACAUUGUUGCUGGGGUACAACAGUAUCAAUCAUCACUAUUGGACAACCUCAGGAAGCAGAUGGAGGCAGUGCUAAAGAAGCAUUUAGGAAGCACAUCAGGUCAACUUGAAAAAGAUGCAAUGGAUAUAUUUGACAAUUUCAUUGGGCCUUUUGCUGGUGUUGCAGCACCAUUUAGACAGGACAGUGUUAUUAAGAAGCAGUUUAGCUGUUUGGACGCAGAGGAAAUUCACAUUGCUCGAACCAUAGGAAGGAUGAAAUGUGGAGGAUCAAAAGACAUUUUCAUCAAAGACAAAUGAUUUCAUUAUGUACCAUUAGUCAAAAGUCUAGAACAGUUCUUAUCACACCCAAUGAUUUUGUCUAUGGUUGAAAAAGGACCCCAGAUGUGCAGAGAAAGUUUUCAUGACAUUGUUGAUGCUGACCUUCUAAAAUCACAUUCCUUAUUUUCAGAGAAACCAAAGGCAUUGCAGAUUGUUCUGUACGCGGAUGAAAUAGAGCUAUGUAAUCUACUAGGAUACUUUGCAUCAAAAAACAAGUUGUUAAUGGUGUACUACACCCUAGGAAAUAUACAUCCAAAAUUCAGGUCUAAACUGGCUGCUAUCAGGCUACUUGCCAUGACCAGAUCAGCAGACCUCAACCAGACGUCAAUCUGGUGGAGAUGUAAUAUUGAAUAGAAUCAAGGAAGACAUGGAUGCAUUGCAUUGUACAGUGGGGUUAAAAUGCUAACUAUUAACGGAGAGAAAAUGAUAUAUGGUGCCAUGGUUUCUCUCUGUGGAGACCCCCUGGCACAACAUGAACUAGCAGGGCUCAGAGGGUGUGGGCUUUGCCUACAGGAAGUGCAGACACUGAGUGUUCUCUUGAGGACAUGCAGACACACUUCAAUGAGGAAGCAUAUACUAAAAGGACACUGGAGAAGCAUGUCAGACAGUGUGAUGAAAUAAAAAAGGCACAGGCGGACUUGCUUCGCAACAGCCUAAAAACAACAUAUGGGAUCACUAGAAGGAGCAAGUUGGUUGAAUUCCCAGCCUUUGAUGUCAUACAACAAACUCCACAAGACAUUAUGCAUGUAAUUCUGGAGGGCAUAGCACCAUUGGAAAAGAAAUGUGUUUUGAAUCAUCUUGUUGUGUCAGGACAGAUUGAUCUGGACUCAGUGAAUUCUGCUAUUCUUGGUUUCCCUUAUUCCCCUCUAGAUGUUAGAGAUCGGCCAUCCCCAAUUUCUGUUAGUACAUUAACGUCAAGUGAUGGUAAACUAAAACAGUCAUCUGGGCAAAUGUUUGUCCUGCUAAGGAUAUUGUCAUUUGUUUUGGAGAGUUUGGAAGUCAAUGCAUAUAUACGACUGAUAAUUGAGCUAAUAGAGAUUGUACAGAUAGUAUUUGCACCUGUUCUUUCCAUUGCGACUGUGUCUAGGUUGAAGUUACUCAUUGAAAAUCAUUUGAAGCAUUGGAAGGAGCUUUUUCCAGACCGCAAUGUUACACCUAAACAGCAUUAUAUGAUACAUUUGCCAUCACAGAUAAAGUCAUUGGGUCCAAUGGUUAGCUACUGCUACUCUCUGUUCAUCAUAUAUGCAUAGUCACUUGAACCAUAUCUACAUGUACAUACUACCUCAAUCAGCCUGACUAACCGGAGUCUGUAUGUAGCCUCGCUACUUUUAUAGCCUCGCUACUGUAUAUAGCCUGUCUUUUUACUGUUGUUUUAUUUCUUUACUUACCUAUUGUUCACCUAACACCUUUUUUGCACUAUUGGUUAGAGCCUGUAAGUAAGCAUUUCACUGUAAGGUCUACACCUGUUGUAUUCGGUGCACGUGACAAAUAAACUUUGAUUUGAUUUGAUGUGAA